rnacentral:rRNA from 1 species
AGUGAACGCUGGCGGCGGGCCUAACACAUGCAAGUCGAACGGAAGCACGGUAAGAGUUUGCUUUUACGGGUGGCGGGUGGCGGGCGGGUGAGGAAUACAUCGGAUUCUAAUUUUUCGGGGGGGAUAACGUAGGGAAGCUUACGCUAAUACAGAAUAUGACGAACGGGGGAAAGCAGGGGUUCUUGGGGCCUUGCGCGUUUGAAUGAGCGGACGCCGUAUUAGCUAGUUGGGGGGGUAAAGGCCCACCAAGGCGAGGAUACGUAGCUGGUCUGAGAGGAUGAUCGGCCACACUGGAACUGAGACACGGUCCAGACUCCUACGGGAGGCAGCAGUGGGGAAUAUUGGGCAAUGGGCGCAAGCCUGAUCCAGCCAUACCGCGUGGGUGAAGAAGGCCUUCGGGUUGUAAAGCCCUUUUGUUGGGAAAGAAAAGCAGCAGGUUAAUACCCCGCUGUUCUGACGGUACCCAAAGAAUAAGCACCGGCUAACUUCGUG